AUGUAUUCAAUGCCCAACGGAGAGCAAGAGCAGGACCCGGAAGGAGAGGUGAGCGGCGGCGACAGUGGCGAAUGGGAUCCUAACGGUGAAGGGGGCGAAGAAAGCGACGACUCAAGUGACGAAGAAGAAGUCGAGUCGCCUCCUCGCAGGGAGAGGCGGACCAAGCUUGACCAAGAACGACCGAGCGCCCGUGAAAAGGCGAUUGCUCAGGCUGGUCAGUCUUCAAAGCAUCCUCGGACCUCUUCGCCAACUCCAACUGAAAAAGCGUCAAAGCAUACCAAAGUUGCGGAGCCGAAGCCUCGGAAGGCGUUGCCGAAGAUUAAGAUUGACAUCCCCGUCGCUUCUGCAUGA
rnacentral:rRNA from 1 species